UACAGAGGGUGCGAGCGUUAAUCGGAAUUACUGGGCGUAAAGCGCGCGUAGGUGGCUUUGUAAGUCGAUUGUGAAAUCCCCGGGCUCAACCUGGGAACUGCAGUCGAGACUGCAAUGCUAGAGUAUGGGAGAGGGAAGUGGAAUUUCCGGUGUAGCGGUGAAAUGCGUAGAUAUCGGAAGGAACAUCAGUGGCGAAGGCGACUUCCUGGACCAAUACUGACACUCAAGUGCGAAAGCGUGGGGAGCAAACAGG
rnacentral:rRNA from 1 species